rnacentral:rRNA from 1 species
AUUGAACGCUGGCGGCAUGCCUUACACAUGCAAGUCGAACGGCAGCACGGGUGCUUGCACCUGGUGGCGAGUGGCGAACGGGUGAGUAAUACAUCGGAACAUGUCCUGUAGUGGGGGAUAGCCCGGCGAAAGCCGGAUUAAUACCGCAUACGAUCUACGGAUGAAAGCGGGGGACCUUCGGGCCUCGCGCUAUAGGGUUGGCCGAUGGCUGAUUAGCUAGUUGGUGGGGUAAAGGCCUACCAAGGCGACGAUCAGUAGCUGGUCUGAGAGGACGACCAGCCACACUGGGACUGAGACACGGCCCAGACUCCUACGGGAGGCAGCAGUGGGGAAUUUUGGACAAUGGGCGAAAGCCUGAUCCAGCAAUGCCGCGUGUGUGAAGAAGGCCUUCGGGUUGUAAAGCACUUUUGUCCGGAAAGAAAUCCUUGGCCCUAAUACGGUCGGGGGAUGACGGUACCGGAAGUAUAAGCACCGGCUAACUACGUG